rnacentral:tRNA from 1 species
AUCUAAGUAUUUUAUUUAAAAUAAAGAUUUGUGGAUUCUUAGAUGCUUAAUUAUGAUUUGGCCUUAGAUU